rnacentral:lncRNA from 1 species
ACAGUAUUCAAACAACGAUUGCAUAAGAAAGUAUCAAAAAUAUAAAUACAACUAUGCUAUUACAAGCAUUCAUCUCAAAUUUUAUAUAAUACAUGCAUCUUACAUUUUAGUCUUCCAAAUACAAUCCAAAUUAUUACAAAUUAUUACAAUCUUAUUCUUUUCGUUUCCUUACAUCCCUAAGUAGCCAACUCAGGGUACCGCUAUCUCUGGUCUCGGUAGUAGGGCACUAACUACGGAGCUACGCCCUUUCCUCGUGCCGUCACGUCGCUCGCGUGUGAACCUGUACCCCCAAAAAUAACAUAGGGGUGAGAACUAU